rnacentral:rRNA from 1 species
GACGAACGCUGGCGGCGUGCUUAACACAUGCAAGUCGAACGGAAAGGCCCUGCUUUUGUGGGGUGCUCGAGUGGCGAACGGGUGAGUAACACGUGAGUAACCUGCCCUUGACUUUGGGAUAACUUCAGGAAACUGGGGCUAAUACCGGAUAGGAGCUCCUGCUGCAUGGUGGGGGUUGGAAAGUUUCGGCGGUUGGGGAUGGACUCGCGGCUUAUCAGCUUGUUGGUGGGGUAGUGGCUUACCAAGGCUUUGACGGGUAGCCGGCCUGAGAGGGUGACGGGCCACAUUGGGACUGAGAUACGGCCCAGACGCCUACGGGGGGAAGCAGUGGGGAAGAUUACACAACGGGCGGAGGCCUGAUGCAGCAACGCCGCGUGCGGGAGGACGACCUUCGGGUGGUAAACCGCUUUCGCCUGUGACGAAGCGUGAGAGACGGUAAGGGGUAAAGAAGCACCGGCUAACUACG